UACGUAGGGGGCUAGCGUUAUCCGGAAUUACUGGGCGUAAAGGGUGCGUAGGUGGUUUCUUAAGUCAGUGGUGAAAGGCUACGGCUCAACCGUAGUAAGCCUUUGAAACUGGGAAACUUGAGUGCAGGAGAGGAGAGUGGAAUUCCUAGUGUAGCGGUGAAAUGCGUAGAUAUUAGGAGGAACACCAGUUGCGAAGGCGGCUCUCUGGACUGUAACUGACACUGAGGCACGAAAGCGUGGGGAGCAAACAGGAUUAGAUACCCUGGUAGUCCCUGAG
rnacentral:rRNA from 1 species